rnacentral:rRNA from 1 species
CCUACGGGGGGCUGCAGUGGGGAAUAUUGGACAAUGGGCGCAAGCCUGAUCCAGCAAUGCCGCGUGUGUGAAGAAGGCCUUAGGGUUGUAAAGCACUUUCAGCAAUGAAGAAGUUGUAUUGGCUAAUAUCCAAUAUAAUUGACGUUAGUUGCAGAAGAAGUACUGGCUAACUCUGUGCCAGCAGCCGCGGUAAUACAGAGAGUGCAAGCGGUAAUCGAAGUUAUUGGGGGUGUUGAAAAAGUUAGUUGUUAAAUCCCUGGGCUUAACCUAGGAAUUGCAUUUAAUACUUUUUAUCUAGAGUAUUGUAGGGGGAAGUGGAAUUUCCGGUGUAGCGGUGAAAUGCGUAGAUAUCGGAAGGAACACCAGUGGCGAAGGCGACUUCCUGGACAAAUACUGACACUGAGACACGAAAGCGUGGGGAGCAAACAGGAUUAGAUACCCGAGUAGUC